UACGUAGGGGGCAAGCGUUGUCAGGAAUCAUUGGGCGUAAAGAGCGUGUAGGCGGCCCGAUAAGUCAGCCGUGAAAGUCCAGGGCUCAACCCUGGUAUGCCGGUGGAAACUGUCGGGCUAGAGUCCGGAAGAGGCGAGUGGAAUUCCUGGUGUAGCGGUGAAAUGCGCAGAUAUCAGGAGGAACACCAAUGGCGAAGGCAGCUCGCUGGGACGGUACUGACGCUGAGACGCGAAAGCGUGGGGAGCAAACAGG
rnacentral:rRNA from 1 species